UGUACAUACUUGCUUUAUUAGUCAUCAUCACAACUCAUUUAUUGAGAAGAGGGAAUUUCCAAGUAGGUAUCUUGUUCCAUGUUUAUGAUCAUGUUUUACUUUUGCAUAUAUUCUUUUGGUAUAUGUUCUUGUUUAUUGUGCAUCACUUGUUCUUGUGGUUUUCUUUUGAUGAUGUGAUAUUGAUGUUUAAAAUCACUUAGUAGUAAAGUGGGCUUAAGAAUCUAAUGCUUGUUUAUGCUUUUGUUGUUUGAUGUUGUAGUAAUCAUAUUAGAAGUUUGAGUGUUUUAACAUAUUCUGAUUAUUUAAGGAUUUACUAGAUAUAAAGACCAAAAAGGGAGCAGCUUUUUGUAAACCAUAAUCAGUUUAUUGCAAAUAAUUAGAUAAUAAGAAGCAAAACCUGUUUGCAAAGAUUGUUAAAAACUUAUUAUCAGCAACUUAAAGUGUCAUUAAUCAAAUAAUCAAUACCAGCACACAAAUCCAAAGUUGUUGCUACAAUAUAGUAUAUGUAUAUACGCCGACAAAGGAUCCAAGAAGCAGAGGACCUAUGAAUUGCUGCUACAGAUUUUUAGGUAAUAUCAUGUUUUAGAUACCCUCAAGAAGACAAAGUCCACUGCUAAGAGCCUGCAACCAUGAAGUACCUAGGCUACUUCUCUGCCUUGAAGCCUGAUAAGGUGGAAGAAGAAAGGAAGAAGAAGAAGGGGUAGGUGGUGGGACCUUUGGUGGGGGAAAAAACAAAAGAAGGGGUAAAGGUAAAGGUCCAGGUCUGCAGAGAAAAAGAGGUUACAUAGGAUGACAAGGAGGUCAAAUGGGUUUCAAUAAGUAGUUCUUUUUUGAGUAAUUAUUUGUGUUUGGCCAUCUUUCAAGAAGUUUGAGCAGUGUGGAUCUAUCUUAUUCGGGUUAAGUCGAUAGACAAUAUACAUUGAUCUGAAUACUAGUUUUUGGUCAUUUUGGUGGUCUUAAAAUUGUGCAUGAGAUGAUGAUGACCAUGUUGAAGUGUUAUCCUCAAAGUGGCCAGAAAACAUUGAUGAGAAGCUGGAAGAAAGUUCAGCGUGUGGAAAAGCCAGGUGUCCAUGACGAUAUGUUAGAUGAUCUGGUCUUCAUUGAAGAACCAAGUAUCGUUGAUUUUAAACAGUUAGAAGAAUUACGAGUUACAGUGAAAACGGGUCAUCACAGUUGGAUUAUCUUGUAAAAAAUUGGGAAUAUAAACAAGAAAAUGCUGUGAGACUUCUAAGGGAAGAGCUUGAAAAUUUAAGCGAGGUAGCCGUUUGUAAUGCCGCUCACAAUUAUUGUUCUUGACAUGUACACUCAAUGGUGAAUUAAUUAGCUUAAUUGCUUAUCCGGUAUUUUUUUCAUUAGUUGAAUUAUUGAUUGAAUUCAUUUAUCUAUGAAAUUAGGCUUAGUAGAGUA